GGGAGUGUAGUUCAGCGAUAGAACAUGUGCUUCGCAUGUGUAAGGCCCUGGAUUCCAUCCCCAGCAACCCCU
rnacentral:tRNA from 1 species